GUUUUUAUAGUUUAAUAUCAAAACAUUAAUUUUGUAAAUUAAAAAUAAUUAAUUUAUUUAAAAACU
rnacentral:tRNA from 1 species